GGUGGUCCUUGAUUUGUCAUGCAUCACUUCAGUCUCUGCUCUCGGAUACCGGGUUUCACGGCCGCAGCGACCCCGAAAGAGGAAAGGGCCUCCUCUGCCUUCGCUCCCCCCGCCAGCACGGGAAACACCACUGACAUCGGAGCAACUGACAUCAGGGAUCCCGGAUGAGCAGGGAACGGAUCCGCCCACCAAACAGAUGUCUCAACUUCACAUACAGGAUAUCGCUCCCCCCGAUCCUUUGUCUCACAAGAGGGGGUCAGGCCGCCUGACUCAGGCGACCCGGAAUGCCUCCAUACCUACUUGGGGACAAAUAAAGACACUCUGCCAUCAAGCACGGGGAAUAACCUCUUUGCAGGGCUCUCCAACCUCCCCUGAGAAGAUGUUUAUUGCUAUGCUUGCCUUAUUAUCUUGCCAGGAUUCUUCGGCAGAGCAUUCAGAGGCUCGCGACUGAGCUACAUCUGGCUGUUUUAAGAAAUAAAAAAGGGGGAGAUGCCGGGAGCCGGCGAG